CGGGUGAGUAACGCGUGAGCAACCUGCCUUCGAGAGGGGAAUAGCACCUGGAAACGGGUGGUAAUACCGCAUAAGCCAGGAAUACCGCAUGGUAUAACUGGAAAAGGAGCAAUCCGCUUGAAGAUGGGCUCGCGCCCGAUUAGAUAGUUGGUGAGGUAACGGCUCACCAAGUCGACGAUCGGUAGCCGGACUGAGAGGUUGAACGGCCACAUUGGGACUGAGACACGGCCCAG
rnacentral:rRNA from 1 species